GAUGAACGCUGGCGGCGUGCUUAACACAUGCAAGUCGAACGGAGAUAUCAUUUUCGAAGCGAUUAGUUUACUAAGAGCGGAGAUGUUGCUAUCUUAGUGGCGGACGGGUGAGUAACGCGUGGGUAACCUGCCUUGCACUGGGGGAUAACACUUAGAAAUAGGUGCUAAUACCGCAUAACAGUAGGAGACGCAUGUCUUUUACUUGAAAACUCCGGUGGUGUAAGAUGGACCCGCGUCUGAUUAGCUUGUUGGCGGGGUAACGGCCCACCAAGGCAACGAUCAGUAGCCGGCCUGAGAGGGUGAACGGCCACAUUGGGACUGAGACACGGCCCAA
rnacentral:rRNA from 1 species